AAGAGGAAAGUGGAAUUCCAAGUGUAGCGGUGAAAUGCGUAGAGAUUUGGAGGAACACCAGUGGGGAAGGCGACUUUCUGGUCUGUAACUGACGCUGAAGCGCGAAAGCGUGGGGACAAAACAGGAUUAGAUACCCUGGUAGUCCACGCCGUAAACGAUGAGUGCUAAGUGUUAGAGGGUUUCCGCCCUUUAGUGCUGCAGCAAACGCAUUAAGCACUCCGCCAGGGGAGUACGACCGCAAGGUUGAAACUCAAAGGCAUUCGGGGGCCCGCACAAGCGGUGGAGCAUGUGGUUUAAUUCGAAGCAACGCGAAGAACCUUACCAGGUCUUGACAUCCUCUGACAAUCCUAGAGAUAGGACUUUCCCCUUCGGGGGACAGAGUGACAGGUGGUGCAUGGUUGUCGUCAGCUCGUGUCGUGAGAUGUUGGGUUAAGUCCCGCAACGAGCGCAACCCUUGAUCUUAGUUGCCAGCAUYAGUUGGGCACUCUAAGGUGACUGCGGUGACAAACCGGAGGAAGGUGGGGAUGACGUCAAAUCAUCAUGCCCCUUAUGAAUGGGCUACACACGUGCUACAAUGGAUGUACAAAGGGCUGCAAGACCGCGAGGUUUAGCCAAUCCCAUAAAACCAUUCUCAGUUCGGAUUGUAGGCUGCAAACUCGCCUACAUAAGCCGGAAUCUUAGUAAUCGCGGACAGCAUGCCGCGGUGAAUACGUUCCCGGGCCUUGUACACACCGCCCGUCACAAACGAGUUUUGUUCARKUUGAAGUCGGUGGUGUAAGCUGUGGAAACAAGCCACCGUAGAGUMCCCCC
rnacentral:rRNA from 2 species